GGGUUGUGAGGUUAAGCGACUAAGCGUACACGGUGGAUGCCCUGGCAGUCAGAGGCGAUGAAGGACGUGCUAAUCUGCGAAAAGCGUCGGUAAGGUGAUAUGAACCGUUACAGCCGGCGAUGUCCGAAUGGGGAAACCCAGUGUGAUUCGUCACACUAUCGUUAACUGAAUACAUAGGUUAACGAGGCGAACCGGGGGAACUGAAACAUCUAAGUACCCCGAGGAAAAGAAAUCAACCGAGAUUCCCCCAGUAGCGGCGAGCGAACGGGGAGCAGCCCAGAGUCUGAAUCAGCUUGUGUGUUAGUGGAACGGUCUGGAAAGUCCGACGGUACAGGGUGAUAGUCCCGUACACCAAAAUGCACAGGCUGUGAACUCGAAGAGUAGGGCGGGACACGUGGUAUCCUGUCUGAAUAUGGGGGGACCAUCCUCCAAGGCUAAAUACUCCUGACUGACCGAUAGUGAACCAGUACCGUGAGGGAAAGGCGAAAAGAACCCCGGCGAGGGGAGUGAAAAAGAACCUGAAACCGUGUACGUACAAGCAGUGGGAGCACCUUCGGGUGUGACUGCGUACCUUUUGUAUAAUGGGUCAGCGACUUAUAUUCUGUAGCAAGGUUAACCGUAUAGGGGAGCCGCAGGGAAACCGAGUCUUAACUGGGCGUUAAGUUGCAGGGUAUAGACCCGAAACCCGGUGAUCUAGCCAUGGGCAGGUUGAAGGUUGGGUAACACUAACUGGAGGACCGAACCGACUAAUGUUGAAAAAUUAGCGGAUGACUUGUGGCUGGGGGUGAAAGGCCAAUCAAACCGGGAGAUAGCUGGUUCUCCCCGAAAGCUAUUUAGGUAGCGCCUCGUGAACUCAUCUUCGGGGGUAGAGCACUGUUUCGGCUAGGGGGUCAUCCCGACUUACCAACCCGAUGCAAACUACGAAUACCGAAGAAUGUUAUCACGGGAGACACACGGCGGGUGCUAACGUCCGUCGUGAAGAGGGAAACAACCCAGACCGCCAGCUAAGGUCCCAAAGUCAUGGUUAAGUGGGAAACGAUGUGGGAAGGCACAGACAGCCAGGAUGUUGGCUUAGAAGCAGCCAUCAUUUAAAGAAAGCGUAAUAGCUCACUGGUCGAGUCGGCCUGCGCGGAAGAUGUAACGGGGCUAAACCAUGCACCGAAGCUGCGGCAGCGACACUAUGUGUUGUUGGGUAGGGGAGCGUUCUGUAAGCCUGCGAAGGUGACCUGUGAGGGUUGCUGGAGGUAUCAGAAGUGCGAAUGCUGACAUAAGUAACGAUAAAGCGGGUGAAAAGCCCGCUCGCCGGAAGACCAAGGGUUCCUGUCCAACGUUAAUCGGGGCAGGGUGAGUCGACCCCUAAGGCGAGGCCGAAAGGCGUAGUCGAUGGGAAACAGGUUAAUAUUCCUGUACUUGGUGUUACUGCGAAGGGGGGACGGAGAAGGCUAUGUUAGCCGGGCGACGGUUGUCCCGGUUUAAGCAUGUAGGCUGGUUGUCCAGGCAAAUCCGGAUAAUCAAGGCUGAGGUGUGAUGACGAGGCACUACGGUGCUGAAGUAACAAAUGCCCUGCUUCCAGGAAAAGCCUCUAAGCAUCAGGUAACAUCAAAUCGUACCCCAAACCGACACAGGUGGUCAGGUAGAGAAUACCAAGGCGCUUGAGAGAACUCGGGUGAAGGAACUAGGCAAAAUGGUGCCGUAACUUCGGGAGAAGGCACGCUGGUGUGUAGGUGAAGUCCCUGCGGAUGGAGCUGAGACCAGUCGAAGAUACCAGCUGGCUGCAACUGUUUAUUAAAAAACACAGCACUGUGCAAACACGAAAGUGGACGUAUACGGUGUGACGCCUGCCCGGUGCCGGAAGGUUAAUUGAUGGGGUUAUCCGUAAGGAGAAGCUCUUGAUCGAAGCCCCGGUAAACGGCGGCCGUAACUAUAACGGUCCUAAGGUAGCGAAAUUCCUUGUCGGGUAAGUUCCGACCUGCACGAAUGGCGUAAUGAUGGCCAGGCUGUCUCCACCCGAGACUCAGUGAAAUUGAACUCGCUGUGAAGAUGCAGUGUACCCGCGGCAAGACGGAAAGACCCCGUGAACCUUUACUAUAGCUUGACACUGAACAUUGAGCCUUGAUGUGUAGGAUAGGUGGGAGGCUUUGAAGCGUGGACGCCAGUCUGCGUGGAGCCAACCUUGAAAUACCACCCUUUAAUGUUUGAUGUUCUAACGUUGGCCCCUUACCGGGGUUGCGGACAGUGUCUGGUGGGUAGUUUGACUGGGGCGGUCUCCUCCCAAAGCGUAACGGAGGAGCACGAAGGUUAGCUAAUCCUGGUCGGACAUCAGGAGGUUAGUGCAAUGGCAUAAGCUAGCUUGACUGCGAGCGUGACGGCGCGAGCAGGUGCGAAAGCAGGUCAUAGUGAUCCGGUGGUUCUGAAUGGAAGGGCCAUCGCUCAACGGAUAAAAGGUACUCCGGGGAUAACAGGCUGAUACCGCCCAAGAGUUCAUAUCGACGGCGGUGUUUGGCACCUCGAUGUCGGCUCAUCACAUCCUGGGGCUGAAGUAGGUCCCAAGGGUAUGGCUGUUCGCCAUUUAAAGUGGUACGCGAGCUGGGUUUAGAACGUCGUGAGACAGUUCGGUCCCUAUCUGCCGUGGGCGCUGGAGAAUUGAGGGGGGCUGCUCCUAGUACGAGAGGACCGGAGUGGACGCAUCACUGGUGUUCGGGUUGUCAUGCCAAUGGCACUGCCCGGUAGCUAAAUGCGGAAGAGAUAAGUGCUGAAAGCAUCUAAGCACGAAACUUGCCCCGAGAUGAGUUCUCCCUGAGACUUUAAGUCUCCUGAAGGAACGUUAAAGACGAUGACGUUGAUAGGCCGGGUGUGUAAGCGCAGCGAUGCGUUGAGCUAACCGGUACUAAUGAACCGUGAGGCUUAACCUUACAACGCCGAAG
rnacentral:rRNA from 1 species